UAUCAUGGCUGUCUCCGGGUGGGCGGGAGAGGUGCUCCUCCGCCAACAGCCAUUCAUCAGCGCUUGCCGAACCGCUCACUUCUGACCCCAGCAGCAAUCAUGCCACAUCAAGUAGGCCAACUACCCAGUUUAGCAGCAGAGCAGAGAGCGCAGGCUGGCGCCAAGAUUAAGUACGCUGCUGCGGCUCUCCGGUCCCUGGAGCUCAGUGGGCUGAUGUUGUAUUGAUUGAGAAACUUUACCAGGAAACAGUUUGGCCGAUUGGCUCUGCUCCCUUCCCAGUGAGACAUCCAGGUGAGCACCAGAUGAAGUGGGCUGGGCGCUGAGUUCCAGGCUCACACACACUCCUCCAGACGGUCUGAAUUUGUCCGGGACCCCACCCAUCUGGCCUCAGGUUCCUUCUGCUUCAAGCUGAACGGGAGUGUUUGGCCAUGGGAAUGAAGGAAUCAGAAGAGGAUUGCAGCCCAAGAAGAACUCAGUGCUGUCCUUUAUCAGGAUUCCAUAGUGCUGUGUGCUUGUGAGAAUAAGUGAACAGCUACUAAAAAAUGAGCAUUCUAUAGUAGAAUUAACAAUUUGGUUACUUUCACCAAGUCAGAGAAAUGACUUAAUAUGAAACAUUGGCUUUGCUCUAACUCUGAACACUGGUUCUCUCAAUCCAAUGGUGCAUUUGUGAAACUAUGCAUUUGAAAACUGCUACACUUGCGUCAUUACUUCUAUUUAAAAGUUAGUCUCUCACUUCUGUUACAACUUUUAUUUUAAAAUAAGGCAUAUAUGUAUUGUAAUCGCUUAGCUUCUAGAAGCUUACAUGCUUAGUAGUGUAAUGCCACAAUAUAAUAACAGAGCAUGGGUAUCCUACUGAUGAAAUCAUGGGCGAGAUGGAUUCACUUGAAUAAUUUCACAGACAAAAGCGCUUUCUUUGGUUACCAUGCUCUUCACUAUGCGUAGUAAACUUUGGGAGAUGUAUAAUGCAAUAUAAACAUUAAUAGUUACACAAUCGUGUUGUUUUAGAAAGACUAUUUAUAGCGAAAAUACAAAAUGCUUCCCCAAAGUAUACUUAAGACCUAAGCCACCAUAAUCUUCCUGGCCAUACAGCAGGAAAUCUAAUACACCAGCUCAAUAAACCUGUAGGAAACAAAGGUUUUGUGUAGCAUUAAGUGUCACAAUAUUAAAAUGCCCGUAUUACUUUCAA